AUGGCGGCGGGGCAGCGCCCUUCAGCAGUGGAGCCGCCGCCCGUUGAGGUGGCCGCCGCGGAGGAGCAGGUGGACGACGCAACGCAGCUCGCCUCCGUGCGGGCGACGCAGCUCGCCUCGGGCGGCGCAGGUGGGCAGGGGCGGUGGUGGUUCACAGCGGUGGCGCAGGCCCUGGCCGUUGUCACGCGCUUGGCCCUAUGGUGGGUGCCGACGGUGGCGCGAGGGACCACAGUGCGCGCCGGCGACGGAGAAAGGAGGAAGAAGCGGCGGGGUGUGAUUAGCAAGAGAUUUGAAGCUAGAAGGGGUUUUCUGCAAAAUUGUAAAUGA
rnacentral:rRNA from 1 species